rnacentral:tRNA from 1 species
AGUCCUGUGGCACAAUGGGUCAGAGUGUUUGGCUCUUAACCAGAAGGUUGGUGGUUUGAGCCCACCCAGGGAUG